rnacentral:rRNA from 1 species
CCCUUAGAUGUUCGGGGCCGCACGCGCGCUACACUGAAGGAAUCAGCACGUCUUUCUCCUUGUCCGAAAGGACUGGGUAACCCGCUGAACCUCCUUCGUGCUAGGGAUUGGGGCUUGUAAUUCUUCCCCAUGAACGAGGAAUUCCCAGUAAGCGCGAGUCAUAAGCUCGCGUUGAUUACGUCCCUGCCCUUUGUACACACCGCCCGUCGCUACUACCGAUUGGAUGGUUUAGUGAGAUCCUCGGAUUGGUCCCGGAGCGGCCUCUGGUCGUGCCGGAGUGCCGAAAAGAAUGUCGAACUUGAUCAUCUAGGGGAAGUAAAAGUCGUAACA